GACGAACGCUGGCGGCGUGCUUAACACAUGCAAGUCGAACGGAAAGGCCCUGCUUUUGUGGGGUGUUCGAGUGGCGAACGGGUGAGUAACACGUGAGUAACCUGCCCUUGACUUUGGGAUAACUUCAGGAAACUGGGGCUAAUACCGGAUAGGAGCUCCUGCUGCAUGGUGGGGGUUGGAAAGUUUCGGCGGUUGGGGAUGGACUCGCGGCUUAUCAGCUUGUUGGUGGGGUAGUGGCUUACCAAGGCUUUGACGGGUAGCCGGCCUGAGAGGGUGACCGGCCACAUUGGGACUGAGAUACGGCCCAGACUCCUACGGGAGGCAGCAGUGGGGAAUAUUGCACAAUGGGCGGAAGCCUGAUGCAGCAACGCCGCGUGCGGGAUGACGGCCUUCGGGUUGUAAUCCGCUUUCGCCUGUGACGAAGCGUGAGUGACGGUAAUGGGUAAAGAAGCACCGGCUAACUACGUG
rnacentral:rRNA from 1 species